rnacentral:rRNA from 1 species
CCUACGGGGGGCAGCAGUGGAGAAUAAUGCACAAUGGGGGAAACACUGAUGGAGCGACGCCGCGUGGGGGAAUGAAGGUCUGCGGAUUGUAAACCCCUGUCAUGUGGGAGCAAAUUAAAAAGAUAGUACCACAAGAGGAAGAGACGGCUAACUCUGUGCCAGCAGCCGCGGUAAUACAGAGGUCUCAAGCGUUGGUCGGAAUCACUGGGCGUAAAGCGUGCGUAGGCUGUUUCGUAAGUCGUGUGUGAAAGGCGCGGGCUCAACCCGCGGACGGCAGAUGAUACUGGGAGACUAGAGUAAUGGAGGGGGAACCGGAAUGCUCGGUGUAGCGGUGAAAUGCGUAGAUAUCGAGAGGAACACUGGUGGCGAAGGCGGGUUCCUGG